GAUGAAGAACGCAGUGAAAUGCGAUAAGUAAUGUGAAUUGCAGAAUUCAGUGAAUCAUCGAAUCUUUGAACGCACAUUGCGCCCGUCAGUAUUCUGGCGGGCAUGCCUGUUCGAGCGUCAUUACGCCCCUCAAGUCCCCUGUGGACUUGGUGUUGGGGAUCGGCGAGGCUGGUUUUCCAGCACAGCCGUCCCUUAAAUUAAUUGGCGGUCUCGCCGUGGCCCUCCUCUGCGCAGUAGUAAAACACUCGCAACAGGAGCCCGGCGCGGUCCACUGCCGUAAAACCCCCCAACUUUUUAUAGUUGACCUCGAAUCAGGGAGGACUACCCGCUGAACUUAAGCAUAUCAAUAAGCGGAGGA
rnacentral:misc_RNA from 1 species